ACAGAAACCUUCUUUCCCUCUCCCUGAGCUAGACCCCGAGCAACUGCAGCUCCCCGGCCAUUUUGGUUCUUCUGCCCCGAUCAGAGACAUUCUUUCCCUUUCCCAAUUAUGGUUAUUCUCUCCCUGAUCUAGGUUUUCUACACAGAAGAGUAUCAUCAACCUCUCCCCGAUCUAGGUCAAGAAGACACUGUUGGUGGAGUUCUUCGAUUGCACAAACGAUUUCACGAUAAGUCUUAUUCUUCGUCUUAGGGUUUCGACCUUGAUUUGUGUUGGGUUUUAGGGCUUCCUAGGGAUAUCGAUUUGGGGUUUUAGGGUUUCUUUGGGAUAUCGAAUUGGGAGUUUCCUUUGAAAUUAGAUUUGGGAUAACGAUUUAGAGAUGGGGUGAUUGAAAUAGAAUUGGGUUUUAUUCUGGUUUAUGGAUUUGGGGAUGGUUUAUGGUUCAUUUCGAUUUGGGAUGGUUUAUGGUUAUUCAGAAUCUAAGGCUCUGACUCCUCUCUAAUAGUGCUCCUCCCUCUCAAUCUUCAGCCUCCAUGACUCUAUAUCUGAUGCCUGAGAUUCAGUUCCUCGUUUUUUCUGUUGGGUUUUCUGAAAUUUUCACUUCUUAUUGAUUGGGACAUUGGGUAUAUGAAAUCUAUGUUUGAGUAUAUGAAAUCCAUGUUUGGGUUUAUUGAUUGGAUGGUUGCUGGCUUGCUGCAAUUGCUUAUUGUUUGGAAUUGAUGCUUUGUUAAUGGAGUGAUGGUUGUUUGACGUUUAUUUAAACAAUUGCUGAUUGUUUGAUUGUUUGGAUUAUACAUGUGAGUCUGUGAGCUUGUUUAUUCAGUUUGAUUGUCUGGGAUUAUACCUGCGAGUUUGGUUUAUAUGAAUCUCAUUUUGUUUAGCUUUGUAUGUUUAGUCGUAGCUGGUGGGACAAUUGCUUAGACUCCUUGCUUCUCAAUUGCAAUUUGAGGUUAUGCUUGUCCCCACAUUAAUUUUUCAUUCUAUUAACUUUGUUAGCUGGACAUUAUUACCUGCAGUUGAUUUUCAUGAAUGGAUUAUUACGUCUUUCUUAAUUUCUUAGAUUCUAGGCUCAUAGUGCUGGGAGAUGGUUCUGCACCUUUGUUCAUGGCAAGAGAACAUGUCAUUGUCUGAACCUUGCAACUGACUUCACUAUGCAAAGCCGGAGACUUUGGGAUUUUGAAAUUGCUUCAUGGUAUUGGAUUCUAGUCGAGGCAAAUCUGAACAAGGCAGAGUGCAGUUGCUGUCUUGGUUGCUGACGAAUUGGGAACCUGUUUUGAGUCGCUGUCCCUCAUUCUUUUAUUUGUAGAAUAGCAACGUGAUGCCCACCAACUGUUCGAUGAAAGGCCAAAGACAAUCUCUGCAGAAUUUGAUUGAGGUAGUCUUGGAAACUCUACCUAGAUUAUCUCCUCGUCUUGGAGUGGAAAUGGUUCAGAAGAAAAUAGCUGCAGCCUUGAAACAUUAGUGGGUUCUGGCUUUCCUUGUAAUCAAAGUUAAGUAUUCUUCUCUGUAAUGUAGGUCUUCAAUUGUAAGAAAUUAUAUUUUGGAAUAUUCAGAUCAACUUUUGUAGCCAAUACUUUAAUUGAAUGGUCAGACAAAUUGUUUUGAAAAAAAAAAAAAAAAAAAAAAGAGAUGAUCAAUCUUCAGUAAUAGUCAAAUUGUAUUACCUGCAAUUCGGAAGUGCAAGACUUGGUGUUUGGUAAGCAUUUUUAGGUUUAACUCUACAACUGAAGUUUGGUUUGUAUUUUUGAGACUUAACUAGUAAUAUAUGUAUAUAUAUUACAUGAUUUCGCAGGAUAUAGGGGAAGGAGUUCUUGCUUCAUGUGGGUCUUAUUUUAAGUGAAAGCUUGGAGUUAGGCUCAUUAGGCUAGCAUUGGAAGCGGAUGAUUGGCUUACACACAUAAGGAUAUUGAUGUGGUUUGAGCUGAAUGGGCAAAUCAUGUUAUGCAGUUCUAACUUUGGUUCUGUUUAAGGUAGAUGAGUAGCACUUGGAACUGCUUUUGUGCAUUUAUAUAUAACUGAUGGAAAGUGUUGAUGAACUUAAAUUAUGCAUGCAUUUGCUCUGUCUAGCUACUCUUUCUUUACCUUAUAGGUUUUUGACUUUGUGCACUAGGUAAAUGAUCGAGAUAAGAUGGUUUUUUGGUUCUCUUGAUCAUAAUGUAACUGUUGGCUAGGUUUAGAGUUGGAACUAUGCAUUGUAUUUUGGAUGAUGUUGAUGCAAUUAA